rnacentral:rRNA from 1 species
CCUACGGGUGGCAGCAGUGGGGGAUAUUGCACAAUGGGGGAAACCCUGAUGCAGCGACGCCGCGUGGGGGAAGAAGCGCCUCGGCGCGUAAAGCCCUGUCAGCAGGGAAGAAAAUGACGGUAGCUGAAGAAAAAGCAUCGGCUAACGCCGUGCCAGCAGCCGCGGUAAUACGGGGGAUGCGAGCGUUAUCCGGAUUUAGUGGGUUUAAAGGGUGCGUAGGCGGAAAGCCAAGUCAGCGGUAAAAUCGCGGGGCUAAACCUCGGUCCGCCGUUGAAACUGGCGUUCUUGAGUGGGCGAGAAGUAUGCGGAAUGCGUGGUGUAGCGGUGAAAUGCAUAGAUAUCACGCAGAACUCCGAUUGCGAAGGCAGCAUACCGGCGCCCAACUGACGCUGAGGCACGAAAGCGUGGGUAGCGAACAGGAUUAGAUACCCGUGUAGUC